GUUUACACUCGAAGAGUUUCCCACGUUGUAUGAACGUCUCACAGUUUGCAUUCUUUCCAGCUGUAUUUUGCAUUCUUUUGAGCCCAAAGAUAGCAUUGUUGUUUCACAAAUUUCUUACACGUCAUUAAACCUGUGGACGGCAAAUCUAGUCUUCAGAGUCGUGAUGUUAAGAAGAGUUUAUCUGGCUGUUAGUGUAUGAAAGUGUACCGAAGGCAGCACAGUG